GACGAACGCUGGCGGCGUGCUUAACACAUGCAAGUCGAACGGAAAGGCCCUGCUUUUGUGGCGUGCUCGAGUGGCGAACGGGUGAGCAACACGUGAGUAACCUGCCCUUCACCUUGGGAUAAAUUCAGGAACAUGGUCCUAAUACCGGAUAGGAGAUCCUGCUGUAUGGUGGGGGUUGGUAAGUUUCGGCGGUUGGGGAUGGACUCCCGGCUUAUCAGAUUGUUGGUGGGGUAGUGGCUUACCAAAGCUUUGGCGGGUAGCCGGCCUGAGAGGGUGGCCGGCCACAUAGUGACUGAGAUACGGCACAGACGCCUACGUGAGGCAGCGGUGGAGAAGAUUACGCAAUGGGCCGAAGCCUGAUGCGACAACGCCUCGUUCGGGAAGACGUCCCUCGAUUUGAAAGCCACUGUCGCCUUUAACGAAGCGUGAGUGACGGUAGUGGGUGAAGAAGCACCGGCUAACUAUGUG
rnacentral:rRNA from 1 species